UCAACGGGCGAACACCAAAAUGUAAACAACAAAUCAAACCAAGAAUCCAAUUGGGGCAAUGGAUAUUCUGGAUCAAGGGAAAAAUACAUCAAGGUGGAGACGUGGAAUGUCUUUCAUGUACCUUACGCCCGGGAUCGUUAACUAUUGGAGUUUUACCCUGCUCUAUCAGGAAGGUUGUUUUGAGUUUUGGGUGUGAUGCUGUGAAUAUGUUGGACUUCCACAAGAUUACGACUGAAGAUUUACAUCUCUUGAUUGAAUAUAGUGAUUCAUAAGUUAAUAUAUCGUGAAGUGUAAUUAUUGUGAGUGAAAUAAAGAGUCAUAGCAAUUUGUUA